CUGUAACUUCAAGAAGUGAAAGACACGACGGUUGUUGACCCGGAGUUCACCGCACUCUUCCGUUAACGAGGAAGAGCCGCUAUAUCUCUCCGGAGCUGGGAUCGAACCAGCAAUCACUAUACAGCUCACAAGCGAGCUCCGUUACAACGGCAAAGACUCGAUUCUCUAUCUCAAUGUUCUCGGUUGAUAACAAACUCUAUAUCAACUCGAGACCUUGACCACUCAGCUUUAUACUCAGCUGAUAACACCCGUGCAACUCACGUGUGAUCAAGUGAGAAAGAACCGACCCUAAACCGGAAUCAAUUAGUGAUUACAAGAAAUAACCGGAAACAACUUAACUCGAAUCAAACCGCUUCGCGUCAAGCCGAACCGGAACCUUCUUCUUCUCUUAGAGUCUUCCCGACUUGAACUCUUCCUUUUGAUCUAAUGACUAGAUCCUUCACGACCACUAUACAUACACCCAGGGGAAGAAGCACCUUUUGUUCUUUCAGUCUUCACAAAAGCAUCUGUUGUCCUUGAAGCUUUAUAGUUUUCCCCUCAUAGUAGGCAGAUGGCUCUCUCUCCUUCUUUGUCCUAAGUGCUUGUGUUGUUCAAGGAACCAGACGGCUCAUUUUUCAAAGUUAAAAGACUUGUUUUCCCGCAAUCAAGCGCAACGUUAGAGAAACUGGCCAUUAUCUGGUGAAUCUCGGAGGUCUUUGAAAUGGCAUAUUAUUUUAGUGAUCUGCUUCCCUAGCUGACGGCUCAGGUGACAAGUUUCACUGGAGAAAGCACUUUGAGGUCAUGGCUCACGGAUCAAAUGUACAUAAGUAGAGGUCUUGUGACAGUACAGAUUUUUAAAACUGUAGAAUAACUAGUUUGUAACUGGGAAAACAACAAGGGAAGUAGGAGACUUGUGACUCGUUAGGUAAAUGAGUUUGUACUUUGGUAGUGGUAGCUGCAGUUUUGGUUCGUGUGUUGUAAUAUUCAGACACUAAUCUGUUUGCAGAUUUCAUUUCAUCUAAUAUAUAAGCUAAUAUGUUUGGAGUU